GCCUUCUGCGAACGCAAAAGGAUGAGAACCUCCGAAGGAGGUUUGACUCGAGCGAAGCGAGAGAACGUUGCUUCAGCAACGGCCCGAAGGGCGAGCCGCGUAGCGGCAAGUCAUCCUCUCUCGCCGACCA
rnacentral:sRNA from 1 species